rnacentral:tRNA from 1 species
GUUGAUGUAGCUCAUCUGGUAGAGCAAUAGACCGUUAAUCUAUUUGUAGGUGGUUCGAAUCCACCCUUCAAACC